GACGGAGGAUGCAAGCGUUAUCCGGAAUGAUUGGGCGUAAAGCGUCCGCAGGUGGCAGUUCAAGUCUGCUGUCAAAGACCGGGGCUUAACUUCGGAAAGGCAGUGGAAACUGAACAGCUAGAGUAUGGUAGGGGCAGAGGGAAUUCCUGGUGUAGCGGUGAAGUGCGUAGAGAUCAGGAAGAACAUCGGUGGCGAAGGCGGCUUCCUGGCCUGUUCUUGACGCUGAGGCGCGAAAGCUAGGGGAGCAAACGGG
rnacentral:rRNA from 1 species